ACGCUCACACCUACGGAGGCAGCAGUUGGGAAUAUUGGACAAUGGAGGAAACUCUGAUCCAGUGACGCCGCGUGAAGGAAGAAGGUCUUCGGAUUGUAAACUUAUUUUGUCAGGGAAGAAAAAUGACUGUACCUGAAGAAAAAGCACCGGCUAACUACGUGCCAGCAGCCGGACGGUAAUCUGAGGCGGGCGUGGACAAGGC
rnacentral:rRNA from 1 species